rnacentral:rRNA from 1 species
GACGAACGCUGGCGGCGUGCUUAACACAUGCAAGUCGAACGGAAAGGCCCUGCUUUUGUGGGGUGCUCGAGUGGCGAACGGGUGAGUAACACGUGAGUAACCUGCCCUUGACUUUGGGAUAACUUCAGGAAACUGGGGCUAAUACCGGAUAGGCGCUCCUGCUGCAUGGUGGGGGUUGGAAAGUUUCGGCGGUUGGGGAUGGACUCGCGGCUUAUCAGCUUGUUGGUGGGGUAGUGGCUUACCAAGGCUUUGACGGGUAGCCGGCCUGAGAGGGUGACCGGCCACAUUGGGACUGAGAUACGGCCCAGACUCCUACGGGGGACAGCAGUGGGGAGUAUUGCACAAUGGGCGGAAGCCUGAUGCGACGACGCCGCGGGCGGGAUGACGGCCUUCGGGUUAUAAACCGCUUUCGCCUAUGACAAAGCGUGAGUGACGGUAAUGGGUAAAGAAGCACCGGCUAACUACGUG